rnacentral:tRNA from 1 species
UCUAUUAUGGCAGAUUAGUGCAAUGGAUUUAAGAUCCAAAUAUAAAGAAAAUUUUCUUUUUUUAGAA